rnacentral:rRNA from 1 species
UCUGGUGGUUAUAGCUGAGGGGUCACACCUCUUCCCAUUUCGAACAGAGAAGUUAAGUCCUCAAACGCCGAUGGUACUAUGCGCGCCGGUGCAUGGGAGAGUAGGAAGCUGCCAGAU